AAUCAACGCUGGCGGCGUGCCUCAGACAUGCAAGUCGAACGCGAAAGGCCCCUUCGGGGGCCCGGUAGAGUGGCGCACGGGUGAGUAACACGUAGGUAAUUUGCCUUCGGGUGGGGAAUAACAGCCGGAAACGGCUGCUAAUACCGCAUAAUGCAGCGGCUCGACAUCGAGACAGUUGUUAAAGCGGGGGAUCGCAAGACCUCGCGCCUGAAGAGAAGCCUGCGGCAGAUUAGCUUGUUGGUGAGGUAAUGGCUCACCAAGGCGACGAUCUGUAACCGGCCUGAGAGGGCGGUCGGUCACACUGACACUGACAUACGGGUCAGACUCCUACGGGAGGCAGCAGUCGGGAAUUUUGGGCAAU
rnacentral:rRNA from 1 species